UGGGGAAUAUUGGACAAUGGAGGCAACUCUGAUCCAGCAAUUCUGUGUGUGUGAAGAAGGUUUUAGGACUGUAAAACACUUUUAGUAGGGAAGAAAAAAAUGACGGUACCUACAGAAGAAGCAACGGCUAAAUACGUGCCAGCAGCCGCGGUAAUACGUAUGUUGCGAGCGUUAUCCGGAAUUAUUGGGCUUAAAGGGCAUCUAGGCGGUAAGACAAGUUGAAGGUGAAAACCUGUGGCUCAACCAUAGGCUUGCCUACAAAACUGUUGAACUAGAGUACUGGAAAGGUGGGUGGAACUACACGAGUAGAGGUGAAAUUCGUAGAUAUGUGUAGGAAUGCCGAUGAUGAAGAUAACUCACUGGACAGAAACUGACGCUGAAGUGCGAAAGCUAGGGGAGCAAACAGG
rnacentral:rRNA from 1 species